rnacentral:lncRNA from 10 species
AGCCAGACAGUCUGUCUGGGAGGAGAAGGAAGGAAUUUAUCUACCAGCUCCCAUCUCUCAUGGACCAAAUUCUUCCCCACUGUACAUAACUCCAUAUCACUUUCAGAUUGCAUAAGGUGUCUGCUGUUCUUUCGGGAGAGGGCUUGAAGGUUGAUUUUAGUUCCCUGUAACUGGAGGUGACAUGUGAAAGCUCAAAGCUAUUGAAAAGGUGCAAAGGCUUCCACACACAACUGCAGUAGGGAGGGCGCAGGAAGUGGGUCAACGCUUUUGGAGGACUGGGUGAAGUUCAGGAUCCUGAGGCCCUACUUUUUGGUCGCCCAGGGUGAGAGCUGAAUGUAGGCUCCAACAGGAAGACGGCAUUGAAGCCUGGUUGCUUGUUACUACUCAGAAUGCCAUCUACAAAAGGAAAUUAUGUAAAAAGCAAUAAAGAACCCCUUUUGUUCUUGCAGGAGUCAGUGUUUCAUAACUCUUUCUGUGAUAUCGUCUGUAUAAGUUGAACCUCUAAAGAACCUUAUCUAAGUUGCCACGACCUUACUCAUUACCCUCAAGAAAGAUGAACAAUUUAAAGGGGGAAAAAAGGAAGUGAAAAAAAUGGCGGAUACGAGGCAGAACUAACCUGCAGCUUCCACUCGAAGGGACAGAGCAGAGUGUGGAGACCCACAACUGGAACUUUUUCUCCAAGAACUACCACAGGAACAUACCAAGAAAGCCAAGAGAAUCCACAGAACCUUUGGAGGAAGUGGUUUGUCACUGCAGGCUCUGUGGGACAGCUGAGGAACUGUGAGUCUGUUUGCUUUCUCAGUUGGGAGGCUUGUAGCCAGCUGGGAGGCUUGUAGCCUGGGGCAAGUUCUCAGCCCUGCUCACCAGCUGCUUGGAGAUAAACUUGGGGUCUGG